rnacentral:rRNA from 1 species
AUUGAACGCUGGCGGCAUGCCUUACACAUGCAAGUCGAACGGUAACAGGUCUUCGGAUGCUGACGAGUGGCGAACGGGUGAGUAAUACAUCGGAACGUGCCUAGUAGUGGGGGAUAACUACUCGAAAGAGUGGCUAAUACCGCAUGAGAUCUACGGAGGAAAGCAGGGGAUCGCCAGACCUUGUGCUACUAGAGCGGCCGAUGGCAGAUUAGGUAGUUGGUGGGAUAAAAGCUUACCAAGCCGACGAUCUGUAGCUGGUCUGAGAGGACGAUCAGCCACACUGGGACUGAGACACGGCCCAGACUCCUACGGGAGGCAGCAGUGGGGAAUUUUGGACAAUGGGCGCAAGCCUGAUCCAGCAAUGCCGCGUGCAGGAUGAAGGCCUUCGGGUUGUAAACUGCUUUUGUACGGAACGAAAAGCCCUGGGUUAAUACCCUGGGGUCAUGACGGUACCGUAAGAAUAAGCACCGGCUAACUACGUGCCAGCCGCCGCAGUAA